GUGGGGGAUAUUGCACAAUGGAGGAAACUCUGAUGCAGCGACGCCGCGUGAGUGAAGAAGUAUUUCGGUAUGUAAAGCUCUAUCAGCAGGGAAGAAAAUGACGGUACCUGACUAAGAAGCCCCGGCUAACUACGUGCCAGCAGCCGCGGUAAUACGUAGGGGGCAAGCGUUAUCCGGAUUUACUGGGUGUAAAGGGAGCGUAGACGGCGACGCAAGUCUGAAGUGAAAUACCCGGGCUCAACCUGGGAACUGCUUUGGAAACUGUGUUGCUAGAGUGCUGGAGAGGUAAGCGGAAUUCCUAGUGUAGCGGUGAAAUGCGUAGAUAUUAGGAAGAACACCAGUGGCGAAGGCGGCUUACUGGACAGUAACUGACGUUGAGGCUCGAAAGCGUGGGGAGCAAACAGGAUUAGAAACCCUAGUAGUCC
rnacentral:rRNA from 1 species